GUGAUCUCCGCGCUCACAUGGGCCACCUCGCCAAUGAACAUGGGGUGCAGGAAAUCAGUGCGCUCCACUCGUGCCAGGGCAGCAACACAGCGGUCCUGCGAGACAAAUGAAAAGAAGGAUCUGAAGCAGCCUUUUCAGACAUCCAUCAGGUGAUAUCAUAAAAAGCAGAACUGCUCCCGUCCACCAAGCAAGAGAUACCCUUAACAGUAAGAUGUUGCUGAGGAAGUAGGGGUAAGGAUUUUGGAGCACACUGAAUCAGAUGACAUGGGGGAGGAGUGUUGUCUGCUAUUCUUCAAGUGCACUGAAUGCAAAACUGAAUGCAGCAAAUGUUAUACUGUAAACUAAGAAAUGUUUUAUUCAGCAAGCUCUGUGCAUGUACAAACAAUUUCUCAGUGUGAACCUAUUAAAUGUACUUUAGUAUUUACAUAUUUGUGGCUAUUAUUACUUGUUACAUGUUUUAUUGCAUUCUGAAAUGCCAUGCACUCAAAAUUUGCAGUAUUUUUCUGUACUUGAUAUUGGGGAAAAGAUUUAGACCAAAGAAUGGGUUGUUCACAUUAAAGUGUUCACCACAUAGAAGUAACAUUAUUAUGUAACAUAACAGUUGCAUUUCAGCCCAAAUUUCAUAUUGUUUCAACUAUAAUCACGCCUUUUUUAUGCAAAGAUAAACACUCUGGUAAUAUACAAGAGUGUCUGGACAAGAUGAAGUGUAAAGGGUAAGUUUGUCAACUUGUGUUUCAAAGGAGCAAAACUAGUCAUUCACUAUUAGAAAAGUGGCUGGUUUUCUUGAUAUUUUUUCAGCUGCAUUAUCUGACACAUGUGUUUGUACAUGUGCAUACAGUAUAUGUAUCGGCCAGUAUGGAAACUAAAAUAUAACUGGGUCAUAGGUUUUUAGUUUUUAGUAUGCCACAAAAUACCUAAAGUCAAUAAACAAUUGUGAAAAAUUCUCUUGUUCUCUUGUCUGGUGACAGAAUAAAGCAGGGGUCUGACUCGGAUAACCAGCUGCUAACCCCCACCCCAAGUCCUUAAAGCAAGGGGCCACCAGACACCUGGUGAUGGCAAGCAUAGGUUUUGUUUUGUCAAUGGGCUGGAGCAGGAAAGGAGUAGAAGAAGUGGUGGACAGGCUC